rnacentral:rRNA from 1 species
UACAGAGGUCUCAAGCGUUGUUCGGAUUCAUUGGGCGUAAAGGGUGCGUAGGUGGCGCGGUAAGUCGGGUGUGAAAUUUCGGAGCUUAACUCCGAAACUGCAUUCGAUACUGCCGUGCUUGAGGACUGGAGAGGAGACUGGAAUUUACGGUGUAGCAGUGAAAUGCGUAGAGAUCGUAAGGAAGACCAGUGGCGAAGGCGGGUCUCUGGACAGGUCCUGACACUGAGGCACGAAGGCCAGGGGAGCAAACGGG